GACGAACGCUGGCGGCGUGCCUAAUACAUGCAAGUCGAACGCAGUGGGGACGGGUGAGUAACACGUGGGUAACCUCCCAUCAGAGGGGAUAACACUUGGAAACAGGUGCUAAACCGAUACUGAUGGAUGGACUCGCGGUGCAUGAGCUUGUUGGUGAGGUAACGGCUUACCAAGUCCACGAUGCAUAGCCGACCUGAGAGGGUGAUCGGCCACACUGGGACUGAGACACGGCCCAGACUCCGACGGGAGGCAGCAGUAGGGAAUAGUGGGCAAUGGACGAAAGUCUGACCGAGCAACGCCGCGUGAGUGAAGAAGGUUUUCGGAUCAUAAAAUUCUGUUGUGAGAGAAGCGGUAUCUAACCAGAAAGCCACGUCUAACUACGUGCCAGCAGCCGCGGUAAUAC
rnacentral:rRNA from 1 species